CAGUGAAUGAGCUCCAGACAAUAAAAGACAAGUUCAUACGAGAAAAUGAGAGGGUUGUCUCUGCAUAGGAGUGAGUAUUCUUACCAAUAGAUAUAUAUUUGGCAUAAAUUGAAUGAGUGAGACGACUCAGUUUGGAGAUAAUAAUAAUAAAGGCCAAUUAAAUGAAUUUUUCUCUCUUAGGAAUAAUAUUUACUUCUAAAUUAAAAAUUACUUAAGAAAAGACAUGAAUAAGUUACAUGUAGUUCCCAACGUGAAUGCCCUUCCUCUUAUUGUCAUAAUUCAUAAAAAAUAAUUCAAGAAAAGUAAACAUAGCAGACUACUGAGAUAUCCUCUGUUUUGCUUCCGACAAGAUUUAACUCUAAUAAAUCCCCUGUUUAUAUCAUCAAUCAGACAAGAUUGUUGAUAUCCCCUGUUUCUUCGAUAUAUUUUUUGGCUCUGCAACUUGGUUUUAUAUUAGUUACAAAAUCAGAAGAUGGGAGUUUCUUGAUUUGUCUAACAGUUUAGCAAAUAAAAUCAUUUGCAAAAGCUCAGAAAAUACAUGAAGCCUAGGAAAACUUGUGCUGUCACGUUUGGAUGUGCAACUUCUGAUCCUUUCAGAUUCAAAAAGACAAUAAAAUCAACUUCAAUUAUGGUUUUAGGCCAAACCAAAAUCUAAAUAAUUUAAAAGUAUCACUCUCAAUUAGCAUAAUAUCCAGCUAAGAAAAUGUCAAGAGAUCAGUUUAUGUCCUAAAUUAUAUCGUAGAGAAAUAAAGCCUACAUAAAGGCUAAAGCCUUGCUUAUAUGAAUGAUCGUUGGAAACUAAGUCAUAUUCUACUUCUUGACAGCUAAAUUGGCAAAUUCGAAGUAGCAAAUUGAUAAGAACUAAUGGGUAUGAUCGGAUUAGGGUGAAAAAUAAUAAAUUCUCAAAAUUUAUUCACAUAUAUAAAAAAAAAAAUUUUUAAAAAAAGAGAGAGAGAAACUUCCCAUAUUUGUAGCGUUUUUUAAAAUCCUGAAUACAUUAGAAUUUCAGUAAUCAAAUUCAACUCUACUUAGGAAUACGAAAUUAAAAUGCAUUUCCUAAAUAAAACUACUAAACCUAAUAGACAUAGAAUUACUAAACAAAUAAUAUUCUAAGACUUCCUAAUUUCACAAUAAAUAUAAUUCUCUUCCAAUACUGGGUCACCAUUCAUAUCAAGAGCACUCAACACGUAAGGAUUCACAGCUUAUAUAUACAUUCUCCGAUACCCAUUUAGCCAAAACUCACCUCUCAAUCCAAGAGAGAGCACUCGACAGUCCACAUUGAAGAGAAUGAAGCAAUUAAAAGAAGAGCAGAUCAAUAAAGCCGAGUUGAUUCUUGAGGAGUCUUCUGUUCAGGAGAAGAUUUUGCUUUCUCAGGAAGAAACCAGUUUUGUGAACAAGGUAAGGCAACACCUGGACUGCCAAGAUGAUAGGUUUGCGUACAAAGAUUUCGUCCAUGGAUGGAACUUGUAUAAAGGGGGGAAAAUGGGUAAGCAUGAUCUUUACUGCCAGUUGGUUGAUAUUCUUUCUUGUGACCAUCAAGAUUUUCUUGAAGAAAUCAAGGAGUUUUUGAGAAAUUUUAGGGCUUGUGAUUGUCCUCUGGCAGAAUAAAGGAGGAUGGUAUUGAUUAUGGAACUUGCAGCUUCAUCUUAUUAGUUAUUUCCAAUAGUUGACAUUCAGAAAUUUUGUGAAAAAUUGUCCAAUGCUAUGAUGUUUCAAUUGUGAUUGAGAAAGAAACAAUCCUUUCUUUUCUUCUCUUCUAAGGCUUCACGUAACAUAGAAAAAUUGAUCGAAUCAAGAAAAUUAAGCUUUAAAAAUUACUAGAU
rnacentral:lncRNA from 1 species